rnacentral:rRNA from 1 species
CCAUGCCGGCGUGCCAGGAUCGACGGCCCUAUGGGUUGUAAACUGGCUUUUAUACGGGAAGAAUCUCCUGCUCGUGAGCGGGAUUGACGGUACCGUAGGAAUAAGCACCGGCUAACUCCGUGCCAGCAACGUCGGUGACUGAGCGGGCUGGCAAGGCGCAUA